GGGUGGGGGCUGGUGCAGGGAUGGGCUUUGUCACUGCCCCUCAUCACACUGCACCUCAGCUGCCGCCUGGA
ensembl:miRNA